CAGUCACAUGUGUGUUCUCAUUCCAUGGAUGGACAAUGAAAGAUUGGAACAACACCAUUUUAAGCUGGCAUGUCAUGUUCAUACUCUUUUGGUAUGAAGAUAUGAUUUAAUUGCGAAUACUUUUUCACGGUUUGUCAUAUAUGUGUACGUGGCUUCAAGAAUUUAGAUCUAGCGGCUACUGGUGGUGUUGGCCCCAUGAAUCUUACUUUUUUUAAAGCUGGGUGAAGAAACGUUAGUUUCGUGCAACAAGAAACAACAAAUACUGCAAAUAAGUGUCAAUUUCGAACUGUGUAGAAAAAGGGGCAAAGUUGGUUUUGAGUGAAGACAAAUCUUCAAUACGCUAUCGCCUGUAUUGCUACCUCUGGCCGUCAUUAGCAGUGGGUUUGGUAGCAGAAAAGUUCAUGAAUUAAUGGAGUGAUUCUAUGUCAUGGCACUUUCAAAUCACAUGGAAUCCAUUACAAGUUUAAACGCAAGGUAUCACCGUCAGUGACAGGCACAUUUCUAGAUUGGCUUAACGCGUGCAGUCUGCACGCGCCAAAAAUUUUAGAGAAUAUCACAAGUUGUGAACAAGAGAUCCUGGUCCCUUGGCCCUCGUUCUCUCACCUCCAUGCCAGAUGGCCAUUAAGAAGGAUCAUAAAUAGUUUAUCUGCUUGCUAUCAUUGAAGGUAACUCGUGUUCUUAAAAGUAAGCACGACAGGCACAGAGCGACAAUGGCAACCUUCCUGCUUUUUUAUAAAAGGAUUGAGGAGACAAACAUUGGGGUUCCAGCGGUUUCCUUAGUCCAUGGAAGAAACUAAUAGGACGGGAAAUUCCAUCUUCAUCACUAACAAAAGAAAAGGCAUAUUUUUAAUUGGCUUAAUUGAUCUACUUUUCUGUCCGGGUUCACAAGUGUCAUGUAGCUGGCCACACCUCGAAAGGCUGCACGAAUCUAUUCAGUGAAUUGACAUGAAGUUGGAAAGCAGCACGAGCAAUACAUUCUGCUAUGAAAAGGAACUGUUUAAGGGCAUCGUCUUUGGAGAACGCUUUAACACUUUUGAUAGAUUCAUCCUUCAGGUUACAGGUAAAGAUGUACCUCAAUACAAAACACCCUUCGAAGAAGCUGGCCUGCUUUAAAUACUACUUCAAAACAUUAAAUAUUCUGGCUACAGAAAACCAACACGUUUUCAGAAAGCUUCAGUUGCAGGUGGCGUACUUGGAACGGUUUUGAACAUUGUUAGAACAAAGUGUUGCAGAUGCGUCUCAUGCCCUGGAGCAAAAGCCAGUAGUUGUAACACCCACUCGUGAACUGGCCAUUCUAAUUCACCGCGCGGCGUGUAAAUUCUCCUACAGUUCGGUUUUCAAGUCUGUGAUAAUAUGUGGAGGAAUUGUCACGAGCUAUCAUUAUAGAUCAGGAACAGUAAUGUAUGCCAAACAACUUAAGCUACGCGCUUUAAGUUCCCGAGAUGGCAUUCCUUACUAAAUCGCCAAUAUGUUCCGGUAUCUGACAGUUUUGGACCGCCAGAUUGCUCUAAUAAGUUGGCAUCUACUAAAUAUGUUUGCGCUAUCAAAUACCGGGGCGUAAUGGCGGUUUCGUAUUGAACAGCGGCUAUAGAACUUGACAUGCAGAGAUCAAGUUCUGUGCAAAUCGUUUGCAGUUUGAACAGGAGCGCCAAUAAGUGAGAUUCAGCUGUGGAAAUAUUAGGUAAUGGUACGACAAAUAGUGACAUCUAGCGGUGGAAAUUUAAGGUAUAUGGUACGCCAAAUAGUGCCAUCUGGCGGUGGAAAAGUAAGGUAAAUGGAACGCCAAACGGUGCCAUCUAGCGAUGAAAAAGUGAUUCGAAUGGUACGACCUGUAGUUCCAUCUUGCGGUGGAAAAGUGAGGCGAAUGGUACGCCGUAUAGUGGCAUCUCGCGGUAAAAAAGUGAGGUGAAUGGUACGCUAUCUAGGGGUCGGUAACACAGCUUGUAAUAAUUUAGUCACAUGAUAUUGUGACAGGAAAACAAAACAAGAAUUUUAAAUCACGGUAUAAAGCUUUUUUUGUCACGGUCUGCAAGGAAAUGACUCGGAAAUGGAAAUUAUGUCACUGUCUAUGUUCAACAACCAUUUGUGUAGCACCAGUAGGUAGGGAAAAUUUAAUUUGCAUUUCGUAAUUGUUUUGCCAGGGUUAUGCUGAGUGAACUUGCAGUUUUGGUAAAGUUAUUCAAGAUAAUUGCAAAUAGUAGUCCCAGAAUCAGAAGAAUUUUGUCUGACAUCUUUACUACGUGAACUUUAAAAGGCCUUGAUAUAUCAAAGGGCGCCCAAUGGAGAAAUUGUGCUUCUUCAACGAUCAAACUCAUCGAUUCCAACAGCCUGUUUGCAAACUUUCAGCCAAUGCGUUGCAAGGAAUGUAUUUCUAAUCCAGUCUUCGACACACUCAAUGCCAAGCUACCACCUUUCGAUACUUAAAAGCGAGGACCGAAUGGCACCUACACUUGGACUGGAUCGGACCGUUAUUUGGUCGAAUGGCUAGCAGCAAAAAUUAAACUUUACGUAUUCGUUCGUGCUAAUUAAUCAAACUAUUGCCAAUAUGUACGGGACGCAUGAGGGGUAUCGAUGGCGUGGCGAACUCUUUCUACUUAACGAUGGAUCGUGUAGCAAUGAUGGACUAUACUUUCCUGACAUGUGGGGAUGGAUUUAGCCUUGUUGUGCCACAUAUCAAGGAAUGUGAAGAACACUUUGAGUCCGUCUACCAUUGAUUCACAAUCAAACAGCCAACCCAAAGAAGUAAGCAAUAUUGCGCAGCAAAGAAGUCUUUUUACUUCAUUUGGAUUUCAUAUGAUCUACGUGAUGAACAUCAUGACGAAUCAAGGUGAUAAUCAAGUUUUUUUUGCCCUUAAGAAAUUAUGGUUUAAUUCUAGGCAUUGGUACUGGACUUGGAUUCUUGACGUUUUUGGUUGAACAGAUUUAUUCAAACUACAAGAAGCACAGACAUAGUUAGUUGGCGUUAAUUUAAAAAAACAAAAACAAUACUUCAGUUUUAUGGUAAGCUUGAUUAGUGGAUAAUCCAUUAGUAACUUUUUUUACAUUUUGAAAGUAAGCUUGAAUAUAGGAGAGAAUUAGCGUUUGAUAGUAGUGAAGCUUAUUUUCGUUUCUUGAAAAUUUCGCUAUCUGCUGCAAAAUGAAUAUAUAGAAAUGUGUUGUUUUCCUUUCUUU